GAUGAACGCUGGCGGCGUGCCUAAUACAUGCAAGUCGAGCGAACGGACGAGAAGCUUGCUUCUCUGAUGUUAGCGGCGGACGGGUGAGUAACACGUGGAUAACCUACCUAUAAGACUGGGAUAACUUCGGGAAACCGGAGCUAAUACCGGAUGAUAUUUUGAACCGCAUGGUUCAAAAGUGAAAGACGGUCUUGCUGUCACUUAUAGAUGGAUCCGCGCUGCAUUAGCUAGUUGGUAAGGUAACGGCUUACCAAGGCAACGAUGCAUAGCCGACCUGAGAGGGUGAUCGGCCACACUGGAACUGAGACACGGUCCAGACUCCUACGGGAGGCAGCAGUAGGGAAUCUUCCGCAAUGGGCGAAAGCCUGACGGAGCAACGCCGCGUGAGUGAUGAAGGUCUUCGGAUCGUAAAACUCUGUUAUUAGGGAAGAACAUAUGUGUAAGUAACUGUGCACAUCUUGACGGUACCUAAUCAGAAAGCCACGGCUAACUACGUGCCAGCAGCCGCGGUAAUACGUAGGUGGCAAGCGUUAUCCGGAAUUAUUGGGCGUAAAGCGCGCGUAGGCGGUUUUUUAAGUCUGAUGUGAAAGCCCACGGCUCAACCGUGGAGGGUCAUUGGAAACUGGAAAACUUGAGUGCAGAAGAGGAAAGUGGAAUUCCAUGUGUAGCGGUGAAAUGCGCAGAGAUAUGGAGGAACACCAGUGGCGAAGGCGACUUUCUGGUCUGUAACUGACGCUGAUGUGCGAAAGCGUGGGGAUCAAACAGGAUUAGAUACCCUGGUAGUCCACGCCGUAAACGAUGAGUGCUAAGUGUUAGGGGGUUUCCGCCCCUUAGUGCUGCAGCUAACGCAUUAGGCACUCCGCCUGGGGAGUACGACCGCAAGGUUGAAACUCAAAGGAAUUGACGGGGACCCGCACAAGCGGUGGAGCAUGUGGUUUAAUUCGAAGCAACGCGAAGAACCUUACCAAAUCUUGACAUCCUUUGACAACUCUAGAGAUAGAGCCUUCCCCUUCGGGGGACAAAGUGACAGGUGGUGCAUGGUUGUCGUCAGCUCGUGUCGUGAGAUGUUGGGUUAAGUCCCGCAACGAGCGCAACCCUUAAGCUUAGUUGCCAUCAUUAAGUUGGGCACUCUAAGUUGACUGCCGGUGACAAACCGGAGGAAGGUGGGGAUGACGUCAAAUCAUCAUGCCCCUUAUGAUUUGGGCUACACACGUGCUACAAUGGACAAUACAAAGGGCAGCGAAACCGCGAGGUCAAGCAAAUCCCAUAAAGUUGUUCUCAGUUCGGAUUGUAGUCUGCAACUCGACUACAUGAAGCUGGAAUCGCUAGUAAUCGUAGAUCAGCAUGCUACGGUGAAUACGUUCCCCGGUCU
rnacentral:rRNA from 1 species